AUUGAACGCUGGCGGCAUGCCUUACACAUGCAAGUCGAACGGCAGCGGGGGAGAAGCUUGCUUUUCCUGCCGGCGAGUGGCGAACGGGUGAGUAAUACAUCGGAACGUGCCCUGUAGUGGGGGAUAACUAGUCGAAAGAUUAGCUAAUACCGCAUACGACCUGAGGGUGAAAGUGGGGGACCGCAAGGCCUCAUGCUAUAGGAGCGGCCGAUGUCUGAUUAGCUAGUUGGUGGGGUAAAGGCCUACCAAGGCGACGAUCAGUAGCUGGUCUGAGAGGACGAUCAGCAAAACUUGGACUGAGACACGGCCCAGACUCCUACGGGAGGCAGCAGUGGGGAAUUUUGGACAAUGGGCGAAAGCCUGAUCCAGCAAUGCCGCGUGUGUGAAGAAGGCCUUCGGGUUGUAAAGCACUUUUGUCCGGAAAGAAAUGGCUCUGGUUAAUACCUGGGGUAGAUGACGGUACCGGAAAAAUAAGGACCGGCUAACUACGUGCCAGCAGCCGCCGUAA
rnacentral:rRNA from 1 species